rnacentral:rRNA from 1 species
ACAUACCGACGGAAUCCUUCGGGAGGAAGAUGGUAUGGACUGAGUGGCGGACGGGUGAGUAACGCGUGGGUAACCUGCCCUGUACAGGGGGACAACAGUUAGAAAUGACUGCUAAUACCGCAUAAGCGCACAGUACCGCAUGGUACAGUGCGAAAAACUCCGGUGGUACAGGAUGGGCCCGCGUCUGAUUAGUUAGUUGGCGGGGUAACGGCCCACCAAGACGACGAUCAGUAGCCGGCUUGAGAGAGUGAACGGCCACAUUGGGACUGAGACACGGCCCAAACUCC